UACGUAGGGUGCGAGCGUUAAUCGGAAUUACUGGGCGUAAAGUGUGCGCAGGCGGCCGAGCAAGUCGUGUGUGAAAUCCCCGGGCUUAACUUGGGAAUUGCGCUCGAAACUACUUGGCUGGAGUGUGGCAGAGGGGGGUGGAAUUCCACGUGUAGCGGUGAAAUGCGUAGAGAUGUGGAGGAACACCAAUGUCGAAGGCAGCCCCCUGGGCCAACACUGACGCUCAUGCACGAAAGCGUGGGGAGCAAACAGG
rnacentral:rRNA from 1 species